GGACUACAGGGGUAUCUAAUCCUGUUUGCUACCCACGCUUUCGUGUCUCAGCGUCAGUGAUGGUCCAGUAAGCUGUCUACACCACAGGUGUUCCUCCUGAUAUCUACGCAUUUCACCGCUACACCAGGAAUUCCGCUUACCUCUCCCAUACUCAAGCCCACCAGUUUUCAACGCACCCUCCCGGUUAAGCCGGGAGAUUUCACGUCGAACUUAGUGAACCGCCUACACACCCUUUACGCCCAGUAACUCCGAACAACGCUUGCUGCCUACGUAUUACCGCGGCUGCUGGCAC
rnacentral:rRNA from 1 species